rnacentral:rRNA from 1 species
AAAAGAAACCAACAGGGAUUGCCCCAGUAACGGCGAGUGAAGCGGCAACAGCUCAAAUUUGAAAUCUGGCCCCAGGCCCGAGUUGUAAUUUGCAGAGGAUGCUUUUGGCGCGGUGCCUUCCGAGUUCCCUGGAACGGGACGCCAUAGAGGGUGAGAGCCCCGUACGGUUGGACACCAAGCCUUUGUAAAGCUCCUUCGACGAGUCGAGUAGUUUGGGAAUGCUGCUCAAAAUGGGAGGUAUAUUUCUUCUAAAGCUAAAUAUUGGCCAGAGACCGAUAGCGCACAAGUAGAGUGAUCGAAAGAUGAAAAGCACUUUGAAAAGAGGGUUAAACAGCACGUGAAAUUGUUGAAAGGGAAGCGCUUGUGACCAGACUUGCGCCCGGUGAAUCACCCAGCUCUCGCGGCUGGGGCACUUCGCCGGCACAGGCCAGCAUCAGCUCGCUGUCGGGGACAAAAGCUUCGGGAACGUGGCUCCCUCCGGGGAGUGUUAUAGCCCGCUGCACAAUACCCUUCGGUGGGCUGAGGUACGCGCUCCGCAAGGAUGCUGGCGUAAUGGUCAUCAGCGACCCGUCUUGAAACACGGACCAAGGAGUCAACCUUAUGUGCGAGUGUUUGGGUGUCAAACCCCUACGCGUAAUGAAAGUGAACGCAGGUGAGAGCUUCGGCGCAUCAUCGACCGAUCCUGAUGUUCUCGGAUGGAUUUGAGUAAGAGCAUAUAGGGUUGGACCCGAAAGAAGGUGAACUAUGCGUGUAUAGGGUGAAGCCAGAGGAAACUCUGGUGGAGGCUCGCAGCGGUUCUGACGUGCAAAUCGAUCGUCAAAUAUGCGCAUGGGGGCGAAAGACUAAUCGACC